GCCUUUAUAGCUUAGAGGUAGAGCAUUAGUUUUGUAAACUAAAGGUUUGUAGUUCGAACUUGCAUGGGGGCA
rfam:Ipomoea nil DNA, scaffold: scaffold1043, cultivar: Tokyo-kokei standard.